CCAAUAGCGUAUAUUAAAGUUGUUGCAGUUAAAAAGCUCGUAGUUGAAUUUCGGGGUCAGCAGGUUGGUCGUGCCAAUGGUAUGCACUGGCCUUGCUGAUUCCUCCCUCUUGAUGAGCCGUAAUGCCAUUAAUUUGGUGUUGCGGGGAAUCAGGACUGUUACUUUGAAAAAAUUAGAGUGUUUAAAGCAGGCAAGCGCUUGAAUACAUUAGCAUGGAAUAAUGAAAUAGGACGUUUGAUCCUAUUUUGUUGGUUUCUAGGAUUGACGUAAUGAUUAAUAGGGAUAGUUGGGGGCAUUAGUAUUCAAUUGUCAGAGGUGAAAUUCUUGGAUUUAUUGAAGACUAACUACUGCGAAAGCAUUUGCCAAGGAUGUUUCCAUUAAUCAAGAACGAAAGUUAGGGGAUCGAAGACGAUCAGAUACCGUCGUAGUCUUAACCAUAAACUAUGCCGACUAGGGAUCGGAUGAUGUUAAUUUUUUAAUGACUCAUUCGGCGCCUUACG
rnacentral:rRNA from 1 species